UACGGAGGGGGCUAGCGUUGCUCGGAAUUACUGGGCGUAAAGCGCGCGUAGGCGGACCUGCAAGUCGGGGGUGAAAGCCCGAGGCUCAACCUCGGAGCUGCCUUCGAUACUGCGGGUCUCGAGUCCGGGAGAGGUGAGUGGAAUUCCUAGUGUAGAGGUGAAAUUCGUAGAUAUUAGGAAGAACACCAGUGGCGAAGGCGGCUCACUGGCCCGGUACUGACGCUGAGGCGCGAAAGCGUGGGGAGCAAACAGG
rnacentral:rRNA from 1 species